rnacentral:lncRNA from 1 species
CCAACAUUCUACAUAAAGAUCAGUACAGACAAAGAAACGAGUAGAAUGACCGUAAAAGAAAUGCACGAUUUCAUGCAAAACAAUAAACCUGAUUACCUAAUUACCUAUUUCCUUUGAACUUUUUCCUUUUCAAGAGCCAAAAACAUAAAGAAACGAGUAGAAUGACGUGAUAUCUGUUUUUCACGUAAAAUCAAAUAAAUCGUGAAAGAAAUGCACGAUUCAUGCAAAACGAUAAACCUGAUUACCUAAUUACCUAUUUCCUUUGAACUUUUUCCUUUUCAAGAGCCAAAAACAUAAAGAAACGAGUAGAAUGACGUGAUAUCUUGUUUUUCACGUAAAAUCAAAUAAAUCGUGAAAGAAGUGCACAAUUUCAUGCAAAACGAUAAACCUGAUUACCUAAAUACCUAUUUCCUUUGAACUUUUUCCUUUUCAAGAGCCAAAAAUACAUGUCGGAUAAUAUUAGACCUCAUCAUCCUACUGACACAGAGUCUUGUGCACCAGCAAAGAUCACAAUUAUCAGCGGGCAACUUGAAAACCAAAUACCACAACUACUAUUGGUUUGAAUUAUUGCACUUAAUAUACUUAAAAACGUAAUUUAUGACUGUUUCAUUCAAUUAAAUCUACAUGCUCUUCCUUACAGCAAAACUUCCCAGCAAUGGGCAAUACAAUUUGAUACUCGAUGUUAAGCAUAAACCUGUCUCAAUCUCUGACCAAACCUAAAAUCUCAACACACACCUCAGCUUGGGAAAUCCAAAAAGAUCAAUAACAAGAUACUCACAAUUUAAACUCAUUAUAAUCAGAACACAUGACAGUCAAAAUACUUUUUUUUCCCACAAGCAAAACAUCCUAAAGUUAAAACAUAAACAGAAACAAAACCAUUUCAUAACUUAUCUAAACAAAGUAAAAAAAACAAAACAGGAACAUGCAUACUUGAUCAUACACGAUACAACCUUAACAAAAUCACAAAAAAUCGAAACACAAACAGAAAGAGAACUCAC